CUGGUUACUAGUCGUAACGAACAGGGACUCCGAACCAAGCCAUAUCUCAGCGAUUUCGCGACGAAUUCGAUGGAAUCCUUGACCCCUACGGCACGAAAACUCUCUCAUAUAUACUCCCGCAUCGGCCCCUCUCCGUUUUUCCAAAAAUUGCAAUCUCUGACCAUGAAAAGCUCGAUUCCGAUCUCGCCAAAAUUCCGCCGCCGUGGAGCUUCAGGGAGAAGUACCACCGGGGCGAGCGGACAUGGGCGCUGGAGUUCCGCAGAACUUCAUCGUUUCCGGCCGGAGGUAGACACCGCUCCAAACCUUCUGGUCAAGCAGCACCUCUACGAGGACAGGAACGAGACCUUCCGAUCAAGCAGCACCUCGCCGUCAGCUUCGUAAAGCCCGAAGGCCAGCACACCGACGUCGCCGCUAUCCACUCCGUCGCCGCGUAUCGCCUUCGUCGCCCACCACCAUCACAUGAUUUAUUCGGAGUGCGAGCGAAAUUCACAAGGAAGAAAUCAUCAUCAAAUAUUACUAAGGC